AUAAUGGUUAGGAGCACACGCUCCAGGUAAAUCCUGGUCCUUCUUGGUGGCUGUAUGAUCUUAACAACAAAACCAAGCCUUUGUGCACAUCUGUGGUUGUGACCAGUUGGAGAGACAUUAGGAGAUGAGAUACUAUGUUCACUCCUCACAGCUGUACCAGGGACCUGAGAUAUUCCGUCACUAUUCUAUGAGAUUUUGGAGAUCCCACCAGUGGUUUUCCGGUGCCAGGGUAUGAGAAGAUAGUCUCCAUGUCCAAACUCACAAUUUCAGAACAAAUUUCAUCAAGAUAAAGAUGGUCUGGCUUGAUGAUAUCCAACCUGACGUGGCCUGAAGAGACAGACAGUGGCUCUUGCUAGCUAAUUAUUGUCAGAUGGAUCGGCAGCCGACCAACGCUUCUGAAACUAUUGUUUUUGGCAAAUGUUCCUCAACAUUUUCCUGGGAGCUAUGGUGCAUUACUCACGAGUGACAGAACCAACGAGCUUCAUCUCCCAAGAGGCUGGUGCAUCUGUUUAAAGGAGCAGGCACUAGGCAGAGCAGCCCCCACCCCACCCUCCAUGGCAGAGUGCAGUGGGGGAAGAAGUUUUCAUAGAAAUGCUUUCUAUAAAGCAUUUUCAUAGAGAAAGCAGGUUCAUAUAGAAAGCACUGGCUGCUGGUUGGAGUGGAGAGAUUGAAGACCCUCAUCUAGGAUCAAGCAACCCCCAGAAAACAAUUUUAAACAUGUCCAUUCAGACAAAAGGAGUCCAAAACCAUAAGAUCCUCUCAGCAUCCUGAACUAAUGUCCAGCUGUUAUCUCGGGAUGGGAUUUCACCAUGUUGUCCAAGCUGGUUUUGAACUCCUGGGGUCAAGAAAUCCACCUGCUUCGGCCUCCCACAGUGCUGGGAUUACAGAUGGGGAAACUGAGGCACAGAGAGGUUAGAGAUAUGCCUGAAGCCACACAGCUUGCAAGUGGUGGAUCUGGGAUUUGAACUUGUCGAUCUGGCUGCAGAGCUGAGCUCUUGGAGACUAGGUUUUACUGCCUAGUAGCAUGUAAGCCUGGAACUGCCGGCAGUCAUUUUGUAAGUUUGCCGAGUGAACCUCAAUGAGCAUGAAGCAGAGAGGAAAGCAGUACUAAGAGAUGCAAAAGAGUCUGUGUUCCAGCAAUGGGAUCUGAAGUCCUGGAUCAAACCUUACCUGGAGACAAGAUUUACCCAUCAGACAUGCCAGUUAUAAGACCCAAAUUUACCCUUUUUGGGGGAUUGAGUUUGAAUGAGUAUUUUUGUUUGUUUGUUUUGGCAUCAGAAAGACUCCUGAUUAAUACACAGUGUGACGC
rnacentral:lncRNA from 1 species